ACACCGCACCACGCCACUGAUCGAUCGAUCAUUCACUCCUGCUGCUGCUGGUAAUUAGUAUUUUUUUGCAGAAUUAGAUGCGAAUCGCUUUACUUAAUUGCUGAUUAGCCUUGGAUCCUAGCUGAUUCUUUAUCGGAGAAACGUGGUAGAUGCCCGUGAUCUGAUUAGUGCCAUGAUUCCGGUUGGCGAAUUUUGCUCCCAACCAUCACAUGCCACAUCCAUAGUACAAAUAAAGGAACCUGCUUACUUCUGAUUGAAAUCAAAACUCCUGCAAAUGUAGGAUGAUGCUGACAUGCAAAAUGUUAAGAUCAAACGCGAUCGCAGUUGCAGUACGCGUACUUGCAAAAUUUGCGUCCAUAUAUUAUACUCCCUCCGUUCCAAAAUGUAGGUCGUUUUGGCUUUUCUAGAUUCAUAGUGUUUGCUAUGCAUCUAGAUAUAGCGCAUGUUUAGAUACAUAACAAAAUAUAUGAAUAUAGAAAAGUCAAAACGACCUAUAUUUUGGAACGAAUGAAGUAGCAUAUAAGGAUGAAGAUAGGAUAGAGAGGCACAAGCUAGCUAGGACCCUGUGCAGAGAAUGCUAUACAUGCGUACAAGCCAUGGCGCUGGACAGUGGUUGGUACUGUGAGCAAGCAAUUAUGAUCCUUGGUAGUAUUGUACAUCAAUACGUGGUGUGUUAGGCUAAGCUACAUUUGACCUGUUAUGGACCUUUUCAUGGUUGUUGGGUGAUUGCUUAUUGUCCGUGUUUCUUGUCGCUGUGGCCCCGUGGGGGCGUGGCACGCGACUAUAGCCAAUUAGAAUUAAUAUAAAAAUAAUACUUAUAGCUAAUAAUUAUAAUUAUCUAUCUCGCACACUCUUUCGUCUAUUGAAUAUUCUAACACAUACUCUAAAAUUCAUAUUUAUCAUUAUCUAGCUGCAAUAGAUUUUAUUUUGUAUCACGCCUCAAUUUGUGUUUGAUAAAUAUUUAAUUAAAUUAUUUGUUUGAAAAUUGAUAUUCUUAUUUCUUCCAUCAUAUAUUAAUACAUGGUAAUACAUAUCGUGAGUAUUAUUCUUAUAUGAAUAAUAUAUUAAUAAUAAUUGAAAUAUUAAUUUAGAAUUUUAUAUUGGUGCACUUUAAUAUGCUAUUAUAACCAUAAUAAUUUAGAUUCGAAUUUAGGGGUUACUCUAACUUUUAAUAAUAACAUAUUUGGAUAAUAAUUUAUAUGCAAGUUAGGGGGGUUAUUUGUAUUAUUUUUAUAGUGGCGUAGGUGGGUAAUUUACAUGAAUAGGGGAUUACUUUAGUUUUUUUAUAAUAGUAGAGGUGGGCAAUUUAGAUAUAAGUUUUGAGGUAACUUUAGAUGUAUGCUUCAAAGGAGCCUCCAAUUAGUAAUAGUAAAAGUUUAAAAUUGCUACGCGCCAUCAUUCUCUUCAAUUUCAUGCAUUGACUGCAAAAUUGAAUUUAGGUCAAUUUUACAGCAAAAAAAUUUAGGUCAAUUUGGCUUGCAUCAAACCAAUUCUAGUUUAUCAUGUAGUAAUAAAAAAAAUACUCCCUCCAUUCGUUAUUAUUUGACAUUUCCGACAGCUCAACGUAGUUAACUGCAAGCCAUUUCAACUGUUUGAAGCGUCAAGUAAUCAAGAACGGAGGUACAGUAGAUAAAACAGGGAGUGAUGGAUGGACUAUCUUACACUGCCACGGGAUCGAACGCACUGCAUUGGCAGACAAUCCCGUAGAGAGUGCUAGCUGCAACGAAAGCUUCCAAAACCGGCGCUGAAGAAGCCACGCCGGCUUGUCCCCAUGGCGGCUGGAGCUGGACCACGCUCUGCUAGGCUGCUAGCUCCAACCUCCAAUGGAUGCAUUCAUGCCGGGCAUCUUUGUGCGGCUGGGCCUGCAUGGACGCAUGGUCCUCGGUGAUCGAUCUCAUCUCCCCAUGUGAUCAUCACCGCUGGAUGGUGUUCCUGUGCCCAUCAUCCUCUUUGACUAGACCAGAACGUUAACGAAGCACUGAGGUCGGCGCAUGGCUUUCAUUCAAUAGCUUCGCCUGCAAUGGAAGCGACGGUCAUGCAUCUACCUGUUUACUCACGAGCGUACCAAAUGAACCGGAUCAGGUUUCAAUGGCUGAAAUCCAAUUGGCAUGUUUUUUUCUGUCUUUCUUGCUUGAGCUGCUCAGGUCCUCUUGGGCCUUAGUGUUCUCUUAUCUGGACCUAUGUGCUUCUUAGCACUCAGUAAGAUCAAGAUGAGCAAAACUUUUGCAUGUUCGAAAAAAAACAAUUAUUAUGGUGGCACUGUCAUUAGUAGUACCAAUGUAGCAUGCAAUCCAAGGGAAUUGGCAUUGCAUACACCACACGGGAUCCUUUGGCAUUAGUGUUUGCUUGAACGCCAGGAUGAAGGAAAAGGAAGAAAAAAAAUGAGAAAGAUUGUUGCUUAAGCCAUAAGGCAGCUGCUGUACUAUAAUCAACAUGUUUACUUGCUGGUGAUCUAUAAUAUAGCUCCAUAGUACAGCAAACGAGUGAGGGGCAAAGCAGCAUGCUCCGUUAACAGUAAUGUUGGGGAAAAGCUUUACACCAAAUCAUACCAAGCUGACAAGCUCCAAAGGCGCCUUUCUCACUCAACUGGGCACCGGCACUGUCAGGCCAAAAGGGCUGCCAUUGGAAGGCUGCAGAGCAUGUCGAACAGAGGAGCUAGCCAGACCAAAAGAGCAGAGGCCUUUUGCAAGCCUGACGAAACCUUUGUCACUCUCCUCACCUGGCCUAACAGCAUGAAUAUUCUCGUCGAUCUGGGGCUGAUUAAUAACCUACAAAGAAAGGUUAAAGAAGGUGAUGAUUGGGCAUGGGCAGCAGAGGCACGCCUGGGUAAUCCAUCAUCGGGCCUUUUCAGCGUGCUUAAUGAUGGGUGUCAGCGCUGGCUGUUCAGGCUGGUGUGGUGAUGCCAGAUUUGGGGGCUUUUGGGGGGGCUAAUGGGACAAAGGGCAUCCACUUUGCAUGCAUGCUAAUGAGCCUCUUUAGCUUGAGAGACAGUGUGCCUAAUGUGUGGGUGGCGUGGCAAUGAUUCUUGAGCUAAUGGCUCGUUUGAGACUUCUUGUUCUCUGA